rnacentral:rRNA from 1 species
GAUGAACGCUGGCGGCGUGCCUAACACAUGCAAGUCGAACGGAGUCCAGCCUUAGAGACCUUCGGGUCAAAGAGGGGAAGACUGAGUGGCGGACGGGUGAGUAACACGUGGGCAACCUGGCUCAUAGAGGGGGAUAACAGAGAGAAAUUUCUGCUAAUACCGCAUAAGCACACACUGCCGCAUGGCAGAGUGUGAAAAGAGAGUCGCUAUGAGAUGGACCCGCGUCUGAUUAGCCAGUUGGCAGGGUAAGAGCCUACCAAAGCGACGAUCAGUAGCCGAUUUGAGAGGAUGAACGGCCACAUUGGGACUGAGACACGGCCCAAACUCCUACGGGAGGCAGCAGUGGGGGAUAUUGCACAAUGGGGGGAACCCUGAUGCAGCGACGCCGCGUGAGUGAAGAAGUAUUUCGGUAUGUAAAGCUCUAUCAGCAGGGAAGAUAAUGACAGUACCGGAAUAAGAAGCCCCGGCUAACUACGU